rnacentral:rRNA from 1 species
GAUAACGCAUAUUUGCUGGAAUGCUUUAUGCGUCAAAAGGAUUCGUCUGCCCAAGGAUGGGUCUGCGGCCUAUCAGGUAGUAGUGGGUGUAAUGUACCUACUAGCCAGCGACGGGUACGGGUUGUGAGAGCAAGAGCCCGGAGAUGGAUUCUGAGACAUGAAUCCAGGCCCUACGGGGCGCAGCAGGCGCGAAAACUUUACAAUGCGGGAAACCGUGAUAAGGGGACACCGAGUGCCAGCAUCAUAUGCUGGCUGUCCGGAUGUGUAAAAUACAUCCGUUAGCAAGGGCCGGGCAAGACCGGUGCCAGCCGCCGCGGUAACACCGGCGGCCCGAGUGGUGAUCGUGAUUAUUGGGUCUAAAGGGUCCGUAGCCGGUUUGGUCAGUCCUCCGGGAAAUCUGAUAGCUCAACUAUUAGGCUUUCGGGGGAUACUGCCAGACUUGGAACCGGGAGAGGUAAGAGGUACUACAGGGGUAGGAGUGAAAUCUUGUAAUCCCUGUGGGACCACCUGUGGCGAAGGCGUCUUACCAGAACGGGUUCGACGGUGAGGGACGAAAGCUGGGGGCACGAACCGGAUUAGAUACCCGGGUAGUCCCAGCCGUAAACGAUGCUCGCUAGGUGUCAGGCAUGGCGCGACCGUGUCUGGUGCCGCAGGGAAGCCGUGAAGCGAGCCACCUGGGAAGUACGGCCGCAAGGCUGAAACUUAAAGGAAUUGGCGGGGGAGCACAACAACGGGUGGAGCCUGCGGUUUAAUUGGACUCAACGCCGGACAACUCACCGGGGGCGACAGCAAUAUGUAGGCCAAGCUGAAGACUUUGCCUGAAUCGCUGAGAGGAGGUGCAUGGCCGUCGCCAGUUCGUACUGUGAAGCAUCCUGUUAAGUCAGGCAACGAGCGAGACCCGUGCCCACUGUUACCAGCAUGUCCUCCGGGACGAUGGGUACUCUGUGGGGACCGCCGAUGUUAAAUCGGAGGAAGGUGCGGGCCACGGUAGGUCAGUAUGCCCCGAAUCU